UACAGAGGGUGCGAGCGUUGUUCGGAAUUACUGGGCGUAAAGGGUCUGUAGGUGGCCAACUAAGUCAGACGUGAAAUCCCUCAGCUUAACUGGGGAACUGCGUCUGAUACUGGAUGGCUUGAGUGCAGGAGAGGAAUGCGGAAUUCCAGGUGUAGCGGUGAAAUGCGUAGAUAUCUGGAGGAACACCGGUGGCGAAGGCGGCAUUCUGGACUGUAACUGACACUGAGAGACGAAAGCCAGGGGAGCAAACGGG
rnacentral:rRNA from 1 species